UACGAGGGGGGCGAGCGUUGUUCGGAAUUAUUGGGCGUAAAGGGUGCGUAGGCGGUUUGGUAAGUCUUUUGUGAAAUCUCUGGGCUCAACUCAGAGUCUGCAAGGGAAACUGCCGGGCUGGAGUGUGGGAGAGGUGAGUGGAAUUUCCGGUGUAGCGGUGAAAUGCGUAGAUAUCGGAAGGAACACCUGUGGCGAAAGCGGCUCACUGGACCACAACUGACGCUGAGGCACGAAAGCGUGGGGAGCAAACAGG
rnacentral:rRNA from 1 species